UACAGAGGUCUCAAGCGUUGUUCGGAUUCAUUGGGCGUAAAGGGUGCGUAGGCGGCGCGGUAAGUCCGAUGUGAAAUCCCGGGGCUCAACCCCGGAACUGCAUCCGAUACUGCCAUGCUAGAGGCAUGGAGAGGUAGCUGGAAUUCUUGGUGUAGCGGUGAAAUGCGUAGAGAUCAAGAGGAACACUCGUGGCGAAAGCGAGCUACUGGACAAGUCCUGACGCUGAGGCUCGAAGGCUAGGGUAGCGAAAGGG
rnacentral:rRNA from 1 species